rnacentral:rRNA from 1 species
AUUGAACGCUGGCGGCAGGCCUAACACAUGCAAGUCGAGCGGGGUUUUCGGACCUAGCGGCGGACGGGUGAGUAAUGCGUAGGAAGCUACCCGAUAGAGGGGGAUAUCAGUUGGAAACGACUGUUAAUACCGCAUAAUGUCUACGGACCAAAGUGUGGGACCUUCGGGCCACAUGCUAUCGGAUGCGCCUACGUGGGAUUAGCUAGUUGGUGAGGUAUUGGCUCACCAAGGCGACGAUCCCUAGCUGGUUUGAGAGGAUGAUCAGCCACACUGGAACUGUGAAACGGUCCAAACUCCUACGGGAGGCAGCAGUGGGGAAUAUUGGACAAUGGGCGCAAGCCUGAUCCAGCCAUGCCGCGUGUGUGAAGAAGGCCUUCGGGUUGUAAAGCACUUGCAGUAGGGAGGAAGCGUUGUGUGUUAAUAGUACACAGCGUUGACGUUACCUACAGAAGAAGCACCGGCUAACUCUGUGCCAGCAGCCGCCGUAAAAC